rnacentral:lncRNA from 1 species
GCUGGUAUCUCGCGGAGCAGCUCCUGUGCCCUUCUGUGCUCGCCGGUCGUGCGUCCGGCUCCCCGUCUUCCCCUCCCUGUCACAGCGCCGCGCCGCACUCCUUUCCUUCAUUCCCAUACCACUCUGAACUUGUGCGCGUCGUGUGAGGUGUUCUCCCAGGGGCGCUCCGUGAGGGCCGGGGACCACCUGGGGCCGGGUUGCUCACGAGCCGGGCACAGUGCACUCUCCCUUUAGUUGUGUUUGGGGGACGAGUAUCGCGGGGGAGGGGAGGGAGUCACCAUGCCCGCCGGAAACCCCCCGCUGAGUCGUCCGCCCUGCACCUGCCUCGGAGCCCAUGGUUCGGACGUUUGCCCGAGCCGUUUCCCGGGGCCUUCCCUCCAGCUCCGAGCGUCUGGCCGUGUCCGCGGCGAUAGCAUCGCCCCGUUACGGCCUCUGCGGGAGGGGGAACUGAGGGGACGACGCGGGCUCUGGAAACAUUUCGGACCCGUUUCGGGCAGGCAUGAGUCUUCCGAGCGCCUUGUGAUUCCUCGGGGGGCUCAACGUCGAAAGAAAGGCGAGGGAGACUCUGGGGCCUGGGCCACGCUGUGCGGGAGUAAGAGGAGCCGAGGACGAGGCUGACGGCCGUGAAACUAGCCGAGUGCCACAAAGGACCUUCCCCUCACCGCCUCUGGCGCUCCUUUCCUUGCAGCCUGGAGGGCCGGCUCUGGCUCUGCGCAGGCGCGCGGGCGCAGCCCCUCUCCCAACUCUUGUUUGCUCUUUCUGGCCAGCGACCCCAGUGUGGGGCACGCGGGAGAGCCCCACAUUUCUUCUAGUCGCAGUCCCGCCGGCGUGGGGUGGCCCCUGACCGUGCAACGGGCGCAAGGCUCGCACCCACUACGGCCCCUCGGGCGGCGGAGCGAGGCUCCGCGAACCCGGGACUGGGCGCGCCAGGCCCGCGCGCUGAGGCCCCCUCCCCCGGCUCUGGCCACGCGGGCUGCUCUGCCUCUGUGAGUGUGCGGGACACAGAGCCAGGGGGAGGGAGGGCCGUGUUCUGCGGUCACAGGCAGACAGGAGUGCCGGAAGAUGCAGUCUGGAGCCCCCGGGGGACUACGGUUCCGGCCCAGCAGCAGCCGCCAUCCCCACGUUGGGUGGCGAGAUCCGAAAGUUUCCAGCUACGAACAGUUUGCUUUUUUUUUUUCCUUGAUCGCUUUUUUUGGCAAGGGCGGAGAGCACCAGUAGCGUGGGGGGUUUAAAUGCACUUUCCCUGAAUGCAACAGAGAAAUGCCGGGCUGGAGGGCAAACUCCACCGGGACAGGGAGGCGGGAGAUAGCCUGAGCGCCCCCCCAUCCCCCACACUCUGAGCGUCGCAACCCCGGGGGCACCUCCAGGGACUACUUGCCUUGUGCGUCAGCGAGUGACAGCGUCACACACACGCCCCCUCCCGCACAUGCCCGCUGCACCCUCCCUUUCCCCCUCCCCUUCCCUUCUCUCUUUUCCCCUAGCUCUUCCCACCAGGCAGAGAGGCUCAGCCGACCCACACGCUCCCAGAGCACUGAAAGCUAAAAAUAUAGCCGAUUAGUGUUUGGGCCAAAUUGCCUCUGCACAUCCUGCAUAUCCUGGGCUGAGUAUGGUGUCCACUCUCCAAUGUGAAACUUCUGACAAUGGUAAAGGUGAAGGUGAGCUGAAGCGAGUUGUCCUACGGCAUCUUAGGAGGAACAGCUGGAGUACAUAUAAGCAGUUAGAGGGUAGACGUCUUCUACCAUUCCGGACAGGUUGAGGGAGGGCGGACUGAAUCCUUGGAAGGAAGGCCAUGAGUUUCUGCAUGUUUGUGCGUUUAAUAGAAUCUCUUCUGCAACGCUGGAAAGACAUCAGCCCUGAGUAGCAUCAUUAGAAUGAAAUGAGAAAUCCAGCCUCCUUGGUGGGAGCUCUGGGUAAAAGGUUAGCAUAUAAGUAGGAAAAGAUAAAAUCGAGGGGAAAAAACGUAACCGC